GACGAACGCUGGCGGCGUGCUUAACACAUGCAAGUCGAACGGAAAGGCCCUGCUUUUGUGGGGUGCUCGAGUGGCGAAAGGGUGAGUAACACGUGAGUAACCUGCCCUUGACUUUGGGAUAACUUCAGGAAACUGGGGCUAAUACGGGAUAGGAGCUCCUGCUGCAUGGUGGGGGUUGGAAAGUUUCGGCGGUUGGGGAUGGACUCGCGGCUUAUCAGCUUGUUGGUGGGGUAGUGGCUUACCAAGGCUUUGACCGGUAGCCGGCCUGAGAGGGUGACCAGCCACAUUGGGACUAAGAUACGGCCCAGACUCCUACAGGAGGCAGCAGUGGGGAAUAUUGCUCAAUGGGCGGAAGCCUGAUCCAGCAACGCCGCGUGCGGGAUGACGGCCUUCGGGUUGUAAACCGCUUUCGCCUGUCACGAAGCGUGAGUGACGGUAAUGGGUAAAGAAGCACCGGCUAACUACGUG
rnacentral:rRNA from 1 species